AUUUUAUUUUUUAUUUGUGGUUUGUCUACUUAUAUAUAUAGAGAGCAAGGCUACUGUGCUAUUAGGAGCACAACAGCCCUUGUGUUCCUAACUUAAUUUCUAACCACCUAUCAAAUUUGAUGGGUGGCUAGAAUAAAAGAGAAAAGAAGCACAGCAACCUUUUUGUUCCUAACUUUCUAACCAUCCAUUAAGUUUGAUGAAACUUUGAAAUAUAAAGAAAUUUAUUAUUUUUUCCCUAAUAAAUCAGAUAAGUGUCGUACAUAUAU
rnacentral:lncRNA from 1 species